rnacentral:lncRNA from 1 species
GCUUGCCUAGUCCACGUAUUACAUGUUCGAAACCAGCGGACGAUCCAAGACCCUCCUCCUCGCUGUAAACAUAAAGAUACACCCUCUGAUCCACGCUCUCCCAACACUCCGGGCAAACCUCAGCCAAACUCCAGGAGAGCGAACCGGUAUCCUCCCACGAUCCACCCCUCCGUUCCCUUUCCCGGGGCCACUCACACUUUAGGGAAGAGCCGUGGCGCUGAGAAAGUGGGCUGGUUCCCUUCCUCGUUCGCUCUGAAGCGGCAGCUGCGGAAGGCUCGGCGCGUUACGGAGGAAGAAGCGGUGCUUGUGUCUCUAAGCCAGGCGGUCACCCGGGUCUCUUCCGCGCCGCCGGAGCAGAGGCGGCGGCAGCGGCCCCGCUUACCUCCGCUUUUCCUCUUCCUGGGUCCCUUCAGGCUGUGUCCGCUGCCCGUCCUGGGCCACUUCUCCCGGGACAGUCACGUUUGGGAGGCUCCAGAUUUUGCUUUUAUAAAGUUUUCCUCUGGGCUGAGGCUGCGGCCGAGGGAAAAGACCCCCCCCCCUCGCGAGGGGGCUGAGGAGAGGGGGAAGGUAAGGAAAGGACGGUGGCGCCGGUCCUGCUCUCCCCGCCGCCGGGGCCGCCGCUUCACAUUGGGGUCCCCGCCCCCCCGGCCGGGGGGUGGUUGCUGAGCGCGAGUCCCGGGUUCAUACACUCUGGGGGCAAGAUGCUAUGGCCCCGGGCGGGUGGCCGAGGCGGCGGCGAGGUGGGGGACCCGGCCGGCUCCGCUCGGCGCCGCCCCCGCUCCCGGCUCCCGCAUGUGUCGCUGCGGCUGGGACCCCCUCCCUACACGUUGGGGGUCCCUCGCCCCGCGCCCCGGGACGAGACAGAAGCUCCGACCCCCUCCUCAGCGUCUUCUCACCGCGGAGCAGCUGACUAGUCCCGGCCUGAGGUAGCCGCCUCCCAGCCCCCCCAGCCGCCGGCUCCGGCUCGGGCUCCGGCGUGUGCAGCCGCCGCUGCCGGCCGGGAAGGUGAGGGGGGGAAAAGAGGGGUGGCCGCGACUCCCGCCGGUCCAGGUCAGGACGAAGGUCUCGGCCGUGGCCAGUGC